rnacentral:rRNA from 1 species
AUUGAACGCUAGCGGCAGGCCUUACACAUGCAAGUCGAACGAGUGGCGGACGGGUGAGUAAUGUCUCGGAAACUGCCCAGUAGCGGGGGAUAACUACUGGAAACGGUAGCUAAUACCGCAUACUAUUGGAGAGGCCCAUAUGGGAUUAGCUAGUUGGUGGGGUAAAGGCUCACCAAGGCGACGAUCCCUAGCUGGUUUGAGAGGACGACCAGCCACACUGGAACUGAGACACGGUCCAGACUCCUACGUGAGGCAGCAGUGGGGAAUAUUGCACAAUGGGCGGAAGCCUGAUCCAGCCAUGCCGCGUGUAUGAAGAAGGCCUUCGGGUUGUAAAGUACUUUCAGCGGGGAGGCGGUACCCGCAGAAUAAGCACCGGCUAACUCCGUGCCAGCAGCCGCGGUAAUAC